rnacentral:rRNA from 1 species
GACGAACGCUGGCGGCGUGCUUAACACAUGCAAGUCGAACGGUGAAGCGCCUUCCUUUUUGGUGGGUGUGGAUGAGUGGCGAACGGGUGAGUAACACGUGAGUAACCUGCCCCCUUCUUCUGGAUAACCGCAUGAAAGUGUGGCUAAUACGGGAUAUUCUGGGUCUGUCGCAUGAUGGGUCUGGGAAAGAUAUUGUUUCGGUGGGGGAUGGGCUCGCGGCCUAUCAGCUUGUUGGUGGGGUGAUGGCCUACCAAGGCGGUGACGGGUAGCCGGCCUGAGAGGGUGGGCGGGCACCCUGGGGAUGAGCCACGGCCCGGCCUCCCACGGGGGGGGGGGGGGGGGUAUGUGGCCGAAGGGGGGCAGGCCGUGGGCCGCGGGCCCGGGGGGGGGAGGGGGGCCUUCGGUUGGGGAACCUUUUUCGCCGGUGAAGAAGGCCCGCCUUGGUUGUGGGUGGGUUGACGGGAGCUGGAUAAGAAGCCCCGGCUACUUCCGG